GUGAAUCAUCAAAUUUUUGAACGCAAAUUGCACUUUCUGGUAUUCCGGAAAGUAUGCCUGUUGGUGGGGCAGUUAAAUAAAAAUCGGGGUUGUUGCUGCUUUCCGGGUUUCCGCGUCGGAAUGGAGUUGUCUUACUUUCGGUUAAGUAACUUAAAAUUUUGCAUGAUUUUCAAACGUAUUUAAAUUUCUUACUUACGUUCAAGAUUUCGAAUACUUCAUUAGGUCCGGUCA
rnacentral:misc_RNA from 1 species